rnacentral:rRNA from 1 species
UGGGGAAUUUUGGACAAUGGGCGAAAGCCUGAUCCAGCAAUGCCGCGUGUGUGAAGAAGGCCUUCGGGUUGUAAAGCACCUUUGUCCGGAAAGAAAUCCUUGGCUCUAAUACAGUCGGGGGAUGACGGUACCGGAAGAAUAAGCACCGGCUAACUACGUGCCAGCAGCCGCGGUAAUACGUAGGGUGCAAGCGUUAAUCGGAAUUACUGGGCGUAAAGCGUGCGCAGGCGGUUUGCUAAGACCGAUGUGAAAUCCCCGGGCUCAACCUGGGAACUGCAUUGGUGACUGGCAGGCUAGAGUAUGGCAGAGGGGGGUAGAAUUCCACGUGUAGCAGUGAAAUGCGUAGAGAUGUGGAGGAAUACCGAUGGCGAAGGCAGCCCCCUGGGCCAAUACUGACGCUCAUGCACGAAAGCGUGGGGAGCAAACAGGAUUAGAUACCCUGGUAGUCCACGCCCUAAACGAUGUCAACUAGUUGUUGGGGAUUCAUUCCUUAGUAACGUAGCUAACGCGUGAAGUUGACCGCCUGGGGAGUACGGUCGCAAGAUUAAAACUUAAAUGAAUUGACGGGGUCAUAGCUGUUUCCU